rnacentral:tRNA from 1 species
GCGACACUAGCUCAGUUGGUAGAGCGAAACCUUGCCAAGGUUGAGGUCACGAGUUCGAACCUCGUGUGUCGCUCCA